rnacentral:lncRNA from 10 species
GUCACAAUUUGGCUCCUUAAAAUCUAAAAAGAAAAACAUUUUUAAAACCUAAUAGAAAGAUUUCUGAGAAUUUUAAUGAAAGUUAAAAUGGACUAAAACCAUUAAGCUGUACAGGAAAGUAGAUUUCGCUGCCUGGAUUAAAUUAAGAGCUGCCUUAAAAAUACAUAUUUUGAUAUAUAAAAUAUUUUUUCAGAAUGUUAAAUACAUGUCUAUAAUAACAUUGCUUUAAAAGUGAAACCAAUUAAUUUUGUUUCAAUAUUCAAACUGGGAAAAAUACUAGAACAAAAAAAAGUAAUGAAAUAAAAUACAUAGGUGGUGGCUGAUUUAUGUCUUUUUUAGUCUUUUAGCUAUUUUAUAUGACUUUCAGUUUAAUAAUUUAGCAUAGUAUUACAAGCAAAAAUUAAACUUUCUCUCUGUGUAUCCAAUUUCUUUCUGACCAUGCCACUUCCAUGUGUUCUCUCAGAUAUGAGUUAACAAGACAAAUGAGCAGAGAAACUAUGACUCUCCAUGCUGCAGAAGGAAAAUGCUCCUAGCGAACAUCUGCUUUGGGUAAAGUAAUUUAAUUGCAAAGAUCACGGUGGUAUGUUGAGAUUUAUUUCAAGGGAAGAGCAAGGAAGCAAAAGAGGGCAGUGGGAACCCUUGACACCCUCCUUCCUUAUGGAAUUUUAUCAUCAGCGGUGAAGGGGCCAAGAAAAAUCUGUCUUCUUUGCUUUCCUUUGUAUCAAUUUCCUCUUCUGAAAUAAGGAAGUCUAAACAAAAUAGUCUGGACUUUGAAAUAUUUUAUAUAUGUAUGAAAUAUUUUAUGUAUAUCUUUUUCUGUACACACAUGUGCAAAACAUACACACACACACAUACACACACACACACACACAUAGUCUAGCCCUUGCCAUAUUUAGAUGUGUUCUCUGGACAGUAAAAUCCACCUUAGCUUAUAGAGGCUGCUAAUUUUCCUGAGAUUUCCAAGCCUAUUUAAAUCUAUACAACGAGCGAAUGUCAUUAAAUGAAUCUGUAGGCUCAGGAUAAGUGGUUCACCUAUAUACCUCCAAGACCAACAAUGAAAAGCAUUCUAACCAAGGCUUAUGUUGAGGCAAUGCUCAUUUAGGAAGUAACAUGGACUAGACUGUGAUUUAUGGAGAAAUGGUGGCAUAGAUACAUGUAGACAGAUAGGUAAGUUGAUUGACUGCAGCAGAAAUCUGCUGUUGUACAAUCUGUUCAGAUACUUGGCAUCAUUAGAACAUUUAUGGAAUAAUGUCUAUUGUGUAAGUCAUUACCAUAAUUUUUUAGAGAUAGUGGUUGAGAUAGUAAAUAUUCAGAAUUUAGGGCAUUCAUCGGAUCUACUAAGACGGACAGGCAGGGAGCACACAGUGGUGUUAUAGAUGUCAGUAGGUUCCUAGGGUGCCCAGGUUAGGUCUUCUCUUUCUCUUCAACAAUUCCAGUUGCCUUUCAGAUACAUACACGAACUAAGAACAACCCUUUCCACUUAGAGAAGUGGAAGGAAGCAAGGAGAGUCUUAUGAUACCAUUUUGAAUGAAAUAAAAAACGUGGACUCCAUGACAAGUCAAGCAGAUUCAAAACAUGCAAAUGAAUAGAUUGAAGUAGAUGCUAAGUGACAUCUCCCAAAACAUACUUCAAGGCUGACCAGUGAGUUGUGAGGCUCAUCCGUGGAGGCUCAAAAUGGAUCUUAACAUGCAAGUCCUUUCCUUCAUUCCUACAUGUGGGUGGUCUGAAUGUUCUUGGACCACUUCUAUGUUCUUGUAUCAUUGGAGGUCACUCAAUAAAACUGAAGUGCAUUGUUGAUAGUUGCUAACAUUUGGUAUGCAUAAACUAAAAUUAGCAUGAUACUUAAGUUUGCUAAAGACUUUAAUUCCAUAAUCCUAAUAGAUUUCCAGUGAUUGAACAAUAUUAUACAUCUCCUCUUGUACAGGAGCUAAUGAAUGGUAAAAGUAAAGACCAGAAGCAUUUCUCACACUAGCACAGUGCUCUUAAUAGUCCAUUCAGCUAAAUAAUAGGUUGGAUCACAAAAAAAGAGACUUUUACAUACCUUCAUAGUCCAGAAUAGGAGGUCAAAUCUAAGAAGAGGAAACUUGCAUAGGAGUAGAAAUUGUACACUUUUAGACUUCAUUUUGAAAUGCCAGAUGCAAAGUACAGGAUUAGAGAGUCUUUGCUUUAUAUAUAUUCGUGAUAAACAACAUCACAUUUCAGUAAGAACGUUGAUGAACUUGACUUUGUGCAGGGAAGGAUGAAUGGUCUGGGAAACAUACAGUUGAAAGAACUGAAUAUGGAGAAAGGAUUUAGAGUAAGUAGUUGUCAGAUGGAAAACUGAUUCAUUAUUCUGUAGGGUUCUGUGGCUUCAUUUGUGAAAAUACAGAAAAGAGAUGUGUUAGACAAUUCCAUAAAAGGGGAUGCUUUCUUCUGCAUCUCAGUUUCCUACUCUGAAAGAGGAUAAUUUUAUUAAUCCUUGGGCCAGAAACAAUGAGGGAACAUCUACUUAGCAUCUAAAAUCUUUAUAACAUGUAGGGAAUGAUGUGCUUUUCCCAGUUCCCCUGUUUGAAUGAGGGACUAGUUUUCCUAAUUACUGGAAGUGCUUGCCGACUGACAGCUCUCAGGUAUCACAAGGCUGUGGAGUGGUACAUCCAGAAUCAGACACACAUAAGGCUGGGACACACAAAUAAGCUGCAGGUAGUCCAGAUAUUAGAAACCCCCUGAUACCUAUCAUUGAUGCCCCAGUGCCUCUUUCUCCACUUAUUCCUGUUAUAAUAUCAAGGACACUCACUUUAUAGCGAAGGAAAUGAAGCAGUGGGCAGAGGUCCAUGGAAUCUAGGGCUAGUGUCCCAUAUCACAGCCCCAGAAGCUGCAGGGCUGACCAACCUAAUCAUUUAGGAUGCUGCGUACUCUCUAAAUUGAUAGCUUUAUGAUGUUGUGCCCCUAGUGGGAUAGAAUGAAUGGGCUUGAGAACCAACAUUCUUUCGUCCUCUUGGAGAAAGUUUGCUUCCCUUCCCCAAAUCUCUGGGGUUCUGUGCAUUUAAAUGUCUUGGUUCCCAAAAAGGGAGUGUUUCUAGCACGUGGCCCAGUAUGCAUCCCACUGAACCUAAAGCUACACUGCUACCUACACACUUCAGAAUCCUCAGGCCAAGGUGCCAGCAGGCAAGAUGAAGAGUUACCAUCAUGGCAGACAUAACUGACCAUGAUCAUCAGAGGGAGGCACAGGUGAUGACAUACAACAGGGGCAGGGAGGAAUGUGCUUGGCAAGCAGGUGAUCCAUUUGGGCAUCCCUUGCCCAAUUUUGAUGGCAAAUGGAUGUGUGCUGCCACCUGAGAAGAACAUGAUGACAAGAGGUUCACAUAACUCAGGGAUGAAAGUCUAGGUCAUGCCGGCCGGGCUCGGUGGCUCACGCCUGUAAUCCCAGCACUUUGGGAGGCCGAGGCGGGAGGAUCACGAGGUCAGGAGAUCAAGACCAUCCCGGCUAACACGGUGAAACCCCGUUUCUACUAAAAAUACUAAAAAUUAGCUGGGCUUGGUGGGGGGCGCCUAUAGUUCCAGCUACUCAGGAGGCUGAGGCAAGAGAAUGGCGUGAACCCGGGAGGCAGAACUUGCAGUGAGCUGAGAUCGUGCCACUGCACUCCAGCCUGGGCGACAGAGCAAGACUCCAUCUAAUAAAAAAAAAAAAAAAAAAAAAAAGUCUAGGUCAUGCCACCAGGUAAACUGCACAGAACAGCAGAAGUGAGAGUUGAGGGUGAGCAGUGUCUGGAAUGGACUGAAGAAGACAAUGAGUAUUGUUGGUGGCCUUGAGACCAGUAAUGUGGGCUAUAGUUUGUCCCAUCCUUUUCCUUUUAUCAGUUUUCCUCAGGAAAAGAGUUCCAUCAGAAUCAUGGAGGAACUGCUCUCAGAACUUCAAUCCCUCCUUAGGCUCCAAUGCCACCUGCUAUUCAAGUCACUAACAUCUUUCACCUGAAACAGUGUCUUGUCUCAUAGGCCGGCCAUUAUCCACCACAUCACAGCUAGAGGGAACUGUCAGCAACAGAAGUCAGAUCAUGUUAUUUUUCUGCUAAAAACACCCCCAAUGGUUUUCCAACGCCCUUAAAAUCAACUUGAACUUCAUGGCCCCAGGCUGCUCCACAGACCUCGUCUCCUACCGCUCUCCCUCAUGCCCACGUGGGCCAGCCAUAUUGGCUUCACUCUCAUGAGUAUGCCAAACUCCUUUCAUAUCAGGAGCUUUCUCUACCCUUCUGUGUCUGGGAUGCACUUUCUCCUGAUCUUCACACGGCUGGUGGUGUCACUUCCUUUAUGUCUCUGCCCAGAUGUCACUUCCUCAGAGGGGUCUUUCUAGACACUAUAUCUAAAAUACCCUAUGUCAUCUACAACCUAACUGAUUAGUUGGCUUUAUUUUUUUCAUUGUACACGUAACAAUUUCUAAUGAGAUUGUUAUUUUAUUAUUAAAAUGUGAUUUAGGUAUUAAAUAUUAUUUAGGUAUUACUGUGAGAAUCCCUCAUUUAGUGUAAGCUACAUGUUUAUCUUUAUAUCUCUAGCACCAAGAAUAAUGCCUGCCAUGUGCUAAUUCCUCAGUAAUUAUUUAUUGAAUUAAUGAAUGAUGCAUAUAUAAUGUUUAUUAAAGAUUAACCAAUGAGUGCCUUCAGUGAAUUUGUUGCCAUCAUUUGCAGUGGAUUUUGUUGCUUUUCCUUUUAAAGAAUAAGCCCAAACUACAGACCACUCUUAAGAAUAUUAUGAAUGAAAAAUCUGUAUAUCUAUCAUAUUUUUUAAAACUAUGGUUAUUACAUGACUAGGGUAUAUAGUAUAUUACCCUGAAAAAAAUUCCACUCUCCAGCUUACUUUGGUAAGAGUAUUUAAUUUGCCUGAGCCAGAUUUUAGUUACAAACUUCCAAAUGAGUCAUUGUUUCUUUGGGAACAUUUAUCCUACCUGUUUCCACCACUUCCUCUGGGGAGGUUAAUCUAAAUUCUGAUAAUACCAAGAAAGGCAGAACUUAAGUUUUGUUCUUAUUAUUAACAAGUUUAAAUGACUACUUUUGAACUUUUCCUUUUAUUUGAAACACAUAAUUGUGACUUUCUAAAUUGAAGUCAGCCAUUAAUAUAUAAUUCAGAGCCUACUGGAUGACUUUUCUUUGUGGAUACUGACGUCAUUGUUCUCUUUCUCAAUGGUACAAACAAAAACACUUCAGAAAGUAAACCCUUGUCUAUUGUUACAGUAAGGUGCAUAAGUAUUCAAGCCUAAUUUUUCAAGGUAACCUUUUAGGUAAUUACAGACACUGUCCUGCCAUUUUAUGGAGGGGAACUUAUUGAUUUAUAUUUUUUUAAAAAACAAAAGGAUUUGAUGAAAUGUUCAGUUAGCCAACCUGACAACUCUUUUAUUUUUGUUUUGUAAGAGUCAAGCUUGACUUCUUACAAAAUUACAAUUUAGAUGUUAAAUGACAUCUCUUAGGAACAUUCAGAAAUAGAGAUAAUUAGAAAAAUAAAUUUGGAAAUUAGCUUGCAGGGCCCUUGGUUAGGGAUCUUUGGGCAUAGUGAGCCAUCUCUUUAAAGAAAAAUGAGGUACUAUCUUUAAGAGAACUGAAGUUACCUGGACCAAAUCACAGCAUGGCUUAUCUGCUUCCUCCCUCCCUCAAAGGUAAAAUCCUCUCUGAGACACAGAAGUAUCUGGUUAAAUUUUAUCUCAAGAUAGCCUACUUGGGACAACAUGCAUUUACCUGCUGUGGUAGACAGAAUAAUGCUUCCUGGAAGAUGUCCAUGUCCUUCUUCCUAGAACCUGUGAAUAUGUUAACUUAUAUGGCAACAGGCAUUCUGCAGAUGUGAUUAACAACCUUAAGAUGGAGAAGCUAUCCUGGGUUAUCCAAGCAGGCCCAAUGUAAUCACAAGGGUCCUGGUAGGAGGUCAGAAGAGUCAGUGAUGUGACAAUAGACACAGGUCAGAGUUAUGUGGCCAUGAGCCAAGGAGUGUCGGCUGCCUCUAGAAGCUGGAAAAGGCAAGGAACAGACUCUCUCUUGAAGCUUCCAGAAGAAACUGGCUGUGCAAAUACUCCAUAGGACUCAUUUUGGCCUUCUUAUCUCCAGAGCUGGACCAAGGACAGAACCCAGAGGGCUAACAAAGAAGCACCAUGGAGUUGGUACACAGACCUCUGAGAACGGAUCCUAAAUGGCUAUCGCUGCUACCUGGCAUCUCACCAGAGAACUGGUUCUGGAAGCUCUCAAGGAAGGUUGAAGCUUUUAACUGCUACUGACCAAUACAGGAAAAACAGAAAUGUAUGGAGUCUCACUAUGUCACCCAGGCUGGAGUGCAGUGGCGUGAUCUCGGCUCACUGAAACCUCCACCGCCCAGGUUCAAGCAAUCCUCCUGUCUCAGCCUCCUGAGUAGCUGCAACUACAGGCACCUGCCACCAUGCCUGGCUAAUUUUUGUAUUUUUAGUAGAGACAGGGUUUCUCCAUGUUGGCCAGGCUGGUCUCAAACUCCUGACCUCAGGUGAUCCACCCACCUCGGCCUCCUAAAGUGCUGGGAUUUCAGGCGUGAGCCACUGCCUUCAGCUGGAAAUAGCAUUUACUUUAGAGUGUGAUUGUAAAGAUUAGUGUGAUAAUAUGUACAGAACAUCUUAUAUUCAUGGAGGGCACACAUUUGUUCAAUGAAUUGUACUGAUGAGAUCACAAAUCACAUUUCCUCACCCUUCAACCACUGCGCAUCCAAUAUCAUU